rnacentral:rRNA from 1 species
AGUGAACGCUGGCGGUAGGCCUAACACAUGCAAGUCGAACGGCAGCACAGUAAGAGCUUGCUCUUACGGGUGGCGAGUGGCGGACGGGUGAGGAAUACAUCGGAAUCUACUUUUUCGUGGGGGUUAAGGAGGGGAAACUAAGCCUAAUACCCAAUACGCCUACGGGUGAAAAGCAGGGGACCUCGGAACUUGCGCGGUUGAAUGGGCCGAUGUCGGAUUAGCUAGUUGGCGGGGUAAAGGCCCACCAAGGCGACGAUCCGUAGCUGGUCUGAGAGGAUGAUCAGCCACACUGGAACUGAGACACGGUCCAGACUCCUACGGGAGGCAGCAGUGGGGAAUAUUGGACAAUGGGCGCAAGCCUGAUCCAGCCAUACCGCGUGGGUGAAGAAGGCCUUCGGGUUGUAAAGCCCUUUUGUUGGGAAAGAAAAGCAGCAGGUUAAUACCCCGCUGUUCUGACGGUACCCAAAGAAUAAGCACCGGCUAACUUCGUG